UACGGGAGGCAGCAGUGGGGAAUAUUGGACAAUGGGGGCAACCCUGAUCCAGCGACGCCGCGUGAGUGAAGAAGUAUUUCGGUAUGUAAAGCUCUAUCAGCAGGGAAGAUGAUGACGGUACCUGACUAAGAAGCCCCGGCUAACUACGUGCCAGCAGCCGCGUAAU
rnacentral:rRNA from 1 species